UGCAGACAUGGGGAGCAGAAGGCCGCGUGAGGAGGAAGGCAGAGAUGGGGAACACGGCCAAAAGUCGGGGAAUACCAACGAUAGCCAGGGGCCGCCAGAAGCUGGUGAGGAGCGUGGACAGAUGCUCCCUCGGCCUCAGGAGGAACCAGCCAGCGGCAUCUUGACCUCGUGCUUCCUGCCUCCAGAACCAGGAGAGAACGCACGCUGUGGCUCCUUGUUCCCGAGCCCCGGGGCCUGCCCACCUGGGCCCAGGCCCAUCCUGACAGGAGGUGCCUCCCACUGCAGUGGCUUCCUUGGGAUGACCAGGUCACCUCCCUGAGCCUCGGGCUUCUCAUCCUGGAAGGUGCUGGAAACGUGCCCCUGGACCCUGGUGGGCCGUUCUGAGGUUACACAAGACCCUGUUGGAAAGCGGGUUGCAAGCGGACCCUUGUGCAAAUCGCCGUUGAAGCCGUGCUUGUGUCAGCGAGAAGGACGAGCUGGUGUGACUUCCGGACAAAGUCACUGUCUGCACCCCCUCAUCAAAUGUUCUGUCCCCAGCUCACCCCACGGGUGGCUGCUCGCUCAUCGCAGGCCGCACCUGGGUCACAGCUUGGCAGUGGAAAUAUGCCUUUUCCACCAUGUGGUGGCGGUCCAGUCGGAUGGCCGCAGUCCAGACCUGUCCCCUACAUGUGAAUUCCUCAGGGUCCCAAGUCACCCAGAGCUUGAGCGUGUCCUUGCAGUGCCGUGACCCUCCAGUGCUUUUCUUCACUUCAUUAUGAAAACACAGAGGAGGAGGCAGAGGGCCCGAGUGCCCAGCCUCGACCAAGGACACGCAGUGACCCGGGAUCGGCCUCCAGACCUGCCCGCUCCCACCCGCCUCACGUGCCGCCAGCUCUGGAGUUUCUGUUUGGCCCACGGACCCUGCAUCCGUCUCCUGCCUCCAGAGCCUCCUGCCCUUUCCCUGCCUCGUGCUGCAGAGUGCAACCCCGCCUGCUCCCAGAGCACCGCGUAAAAUGUGUGCGCGCGUGAAAGUGUUUGAAAACCGCACAGAGCAGCACCACACGCGGGCGCGUUCCGGAAUCGGGGCAUGCUCGCCUCCUGCCGCACAUGAGCUCCUCCGUCCCCGUGAGAGACAGGUGGCCCCUCGAAGCCCCAAGCUGCCCUGUGGGAUGUGGCCCAGGUUGCCCACACGGCACCCGUUCCUUCUGCUCUCUCCUCCCUGCGUGUCCAGAGGGCUCAUCAGAAAAUGGAGGGAUGGGGGCAGAGGGGCCGAUGCAUAAAAAGAUCAGAGGGCGUCGUUGCACCCGCCGUCUGGACAUUACAUCCCUGGGGCCAGCGUUCGAGGCCAGAGGCCUGAAAGUGUGAAAGCAGCUUCAGAAGCUUGGCUGCAGAGAGGAGAAGGGGGCCAGUGGGGUGGGGACCACCGUGGGGAGCCACUGGGUGGCAGUGGGUCUGUCCAGACCCAGGCUGGAACCCUUGACCUCCCCUGCUCUCUUGGCUGACUUCCAGUGGGGGUUUCAGCCUGUCUUCUGCUCCCAGGGGUCUGG
rnacentral:lncRNA from 1 species